rnacentral:lncRNA from 1 species
UCCACGGUUGUUUUUUAUGCAUCCAUAUAUUUUUAAAGAUAAUUGUCUAUUAUACCCUUCAUUUAGUAGAGAUCAGAAAAUCAAAUCAGAUUGAGAGGUCGUAGUUCAGGCCCUUGAUUGUAUUUGUACCGCUAAUCCCUUCUUCACUAAUCAACAACAUGUUCUGAUUAAACACGGUGCUGCUUCUUUGGUGGUGCAAUGUUCAGCCAAGUAAAAGGUAAGUGAAUCAUUGUGUAUGUUUCAUUUGCCGCCUGGUUUAGAGUUUAAACUCUCAUGUUAUUAACAAAACCUGUGAAAUCCACUUCAAAUAAACACACGAACCUCACAUUCCUGCAAGAAAGUCAAAGAAGCCAAAAAAAAAAAAUGGGAAAGAAAAUCAGUUUGUGCGAUGUAAUGGUGCAUUUUUGCUUGAUUUUAACGACUUGAUUUUGCCCACCUGCAACUGAUUUUAAUAUGUGUUAUGUAAUGGUGUUUUUUGCCUUCUCUGGCGAACGUGAUUUUUCUCCGGCAACAGGCUGUUGAUUUUAUAUAAAAAAAAUGUAUAUAGGAAAAGUAAAUUAAAUUUUAUAGUCAAAUUAACUCAAGUUUAUAAAACAAUAACAUACAUAAAUUCAUCUAAAAUUAUGUCUCCAUGUAUUUUUUGAAAAAAAACCAUCUCUUAAUUAUGAUAACCAAGAAUCCGUAGAAAUUGACUUUCGAUACUCAAAAUUGCUAAUUCAUUUAAUCUUUCUUGAGUUUGAGUUAGCUAUCUGUAACCACAAAAUAAACAAAAACAACGAUCAGUUUAAGAACCAAUACAUUUCUAUCAGAUUUUCAAAUACAUUUCUAGAAAUUAAACUAAUAAAAUAAAACAUCAGAUUUUUAUAAACAUUAGUUUAUUCAGAAAACAACAUAUGAAAUAUUUUGAAAUAAAAAACAUACAUUUUAAUAAAUACCAUUUAAUUUAUAAACAUUACAAAAAAACAACUUAAAAAAGAAUAAAUGCAAAACGAUGAUAUAAUUCCAUAAGUUGAGGUUAACGAAUUUACAGGAUGAGGCAGUAAGAACAAUAAAUGACCAAAACUAAUAUGCAAGAAUAGUAGAAAAGUAAGUUUCAUUAGACUCACUAUUUAUAUAUGUUCUGAAUAAAAAUGCAAUUCAAAGUUAUAGUUUGUAAGUUUAUUCCAGUUUCGACGCAUGAGAAAGCAUGGCUAAAUACUUAUAGUCUUUGACUUUUUGAUAAACAAAAGCAUUCAAUUUCAUAAACAUAAAACAAACCCAUAAAUACAGAUUUCGAUAAAAUAACUAGAAACUCAAAAAUAUAAUUCAAAAGUGAUAACUCAGAAUUUACAGGGGAAUGUAAGAGAAAUCUUGAGCAAACCUUUGAAUGUUGUGCACAAUAGGCAGCUCUUUAAAAAUACAAAGAUAAGUAGUCAACUGAAGCAAGAAUUGAUGAGGAGUUGGGGAUUAAUGGACUAUAUGAAAAGGUUAUCGGAUUUUCACGAGAACAAGAGAUUAAGAGGGCAUAUUAACAAUGAAAUUAUGAGGAUUUAAAUCUUUAUAGGCUGAGAAUAAGAGAAGAAAGAGAACCGUAUGUUUUAUCUAUUGAGAUCAACAGGUACGCCCGUAUUUAUUGGAAUCGUCUUCUCCAGAACCCCAUUGAUAAGAAUGUCUUGUCUUCUUCAACUGUAAUUAUUAGGCGUGCUAUAUUGCUUAGGAUAACGAAGAGUCAUGCAUUCUAAAUUUAUUUCAAAUUGCC